UCCGGUUUGACACCGGCAGUCUCCCUAGAGUGCCCGGCAUAACCCGCUGGUAACUAGGGACGAGGGUUGCGCUCGUUGCGGGACUUAACCCAACAUCUCACGACACGAGCUGACGACAGCCAUGCAGCAUCUGUGCACGCUCCCUUGCUGGUCCCUUGGCUUACACCUCAGUACCACGUGCAUGUCAAGCCGAGGUAAGGUUCUGCGCGUUGCAUCGAAUUAAACCACAUGCUCCUCCGCUUGUGCGGGCCCCCGUCAAUUCCUUUGAGUUUCACCGUUGCCGGCGUACUCCCCAGGUGGAUUACUUAUCGCUUUCGCUAAGCCACUAAAAGUUGCCCUCUAGCAGCGAGUAAUCAUCGUUUACAGUGUGGACUAC
rnacentral:misc_RNA from 1 species